rnacentral:rRNA from 1 species
GAUGAACGCUGGCGGCGUGCCUAAUACAUGCAAGUCGAGCGAACAGACGAGGAGCUUGCUCCUCUGACGUUAGCGGCGGACGGGUGAGUAACACGUGGAUAACCUACCUAUAAGACUGGGAUAACUUCGGGAAACCGGAGCUAACACCGGAUAAUAUAUUGAACCGCAUGGUUCAAUAGUGAAAGACGGUUUUGCUGUCACUUAUAGAUGGAUCCGCGCCGCAUUAGCUAGUUGGUAAGGUAACGGCUUACCAAGGCAACGAUGCGUAGCCGACCUGAGAGGGUGAUCGGCCACACUGGAACUGAGACACGGUCCAGACUCCUACGGGAGGCAGCAGUAGGGAAUCUUCCGCAAUGGGCGAAAGCCUGACGGAGCAACGCCGCGUGAGUGAUGAAGGUCUUCGGAUCGUAAAACUCUGUUAUUAGGGAAGAACAAAUGUGUAAGUAACUAUGCACGUCUUGACGGUACCUAAUCAGAAAGCCACGGCUAACUACGUG